CACCUCUGUGGUCGCCACGCUGACUCCCCUCUCCAGUUAAACCAUUUUACAGUUGAAGAAACCAAAGCUCAGAGAAGUGAAGUGUGUUGCUGAGGUCAGCCAAGCUAGACUCAAAUCCAGGUUCCUGAUCAGCUAGCUCCUUUGGCUUUGAUGGGCUGGUACACCUUCAACCCAUCUCCAUCACAUGAAGAGUGUCUCAGAGUGAAUCUCUCCUUAGGACAAG